UACAGAGGUCUCAAGCGUUGUUCGGAUUCAUUGGGCGUAAAGGGUGCGUAGGCGGCGCGGUAAGUCGGGUGUGAAAUCUCGGAGCUUAACUCCGAAACUGCAUUCGAUACUGCCGUGCUUGAGGACUGGAGAGGAGACUGGAAUUUACGGUGUAGCGGUGAAAUGCGUAGAUAUCAGGAGGAACACCGGUGGCGAAGGCGCCACUCUGGGCCGAAACUGACGCUGAGGAGCGAGAGCGUGGGUAGCAAACAGG
rnacentral:rRNA from 1 species